AGUAAGACAGGAAUAAAUGUUGAAACAGCAUGUCUCUGCUGCAAAAUGCAAACUUCAACCACCAGAGGGCAGCAAAAACAAAGUUUGCAACUGGUGUGAUUUUACUCUUACUGGGAAUUGUGCAGAGUUGCAUACAUUGCUCACAGUGACGCUUAACAUUAGCAGUGUAGGAUCUGUCUUCACUCUAAACUAAAAUUAAGUAAUUUUGCUUUUUGAGUGCGAGAUGCUAACAUCAAUCUCAUGUCUGUGCCUAAAGUAUGGAGCUAGUCUAAGGGCAGUGAUUGUACACCAACAGAUGCGACUCUAGACGAGUAACAUGCUGCAAAUGACAAGUGAUUCUCUCUACGCUAAACUAACUGACUCCAUAUUUAAUGAACAGACAUGAGUGAGGGGAACCUUCUCAUCUUACUUUUGAAAUUAAAGUAUCUUUCUUUACACUAGAAUCCCUGAGUGAGAGGACUCACCAGUAUCCGGUCGCUGUCUAUGAUGGUGUUGAGACGAUGAGCUAUGGUCAGCACGGUGCAUUCUCUGAACUUGUCCCGUAUGGUUUUCUGGAUCAGUUCAUCGGUCCUGUGGAGAGGCACGGCACACAGCAAGUCAGUCUUUAGCAGAACACACCUAAAAGCUCAUCUCCACUGUCGACUUUCCAUGUGGCACGUUUAAUCCUCCAGUUACACACACAAAUUACACAGCGUGUCAAGAGGCAGUAUUUUACAUUACCAUAUCGAGACACCCGUGUCAGCAGUACCUGGGGUCCACGUUGGCUGUGGCCUCAUCGAUGAUGAGGAUGCGGUUCUUCCUCAGGAUGGCUCUGGCCAGACACACCAGCUGUCUCUGGCCCACGCUGAAGUUGGAGCCCGACUCGGCCAGAACGGUCUCCAGCUUACAAGGCAGCUCCUCCACCACAGACUUGAGCUGCACCUGCAGGGAACAUUAAGAUCUGAUUACUCUGUGUGCACUGAUCUCCAAGCCAUGACAAUGGAAUUAAAGCCUACAUAAUCCAGACA